rnacentral:piRNA from 1 species
UAGUUCAAUAUGUGUAGUAAGUAGUGA